rnacentral:lncRNA from 1 species
AUGAGGGAAAGAACACCAAGGAGCACAUCCCAUCCCAGCCAGACUCCACUGACUCCUCAUCGCGUUCUUCUCUGGACACAACAAAGUGUCAGGCAGAACAGCCAUAGCAUACUAUGCUCAAGUCUCCACUCACGGUUUAUAAGGCAGAGCUGGAAGAAACCUUGAAGCCCCAGGAGCCAAAUGCCUCUCAUUUAACACUAGGAGAUCCUGGGAUCAAGGCAGCCACCCUAGACCAAGGCAACACUGAACAGCCCCUAAGAAAGUAUCCUGUGAUGAACUGAAUUGCAUAGACAACUAAAUAUGUGUGUCUACAGUGUAUUCUUUAUCAGAUCUGUGCAUUCAGUCUGAAAUAAAAUAUUUGUAGGUUAAUCAACAGAGUGCCAUUUCUAAUUCAUCAA